rnacentral:rRNA from 1 species
UACAGAGGUCCCAAGCGUUGUUCGGAUUCACUGGGCGUAAAGGGUGCGCAGGUGGGUUUGCAAGUUCGAUGUGAAAGCCCCGGGCUUAACCCGGGAAUGGCAUUGGAUACUGCAGAUCUGGAGGAUCGGAGGGGGGACUGGAAUUCUUGGUGUAGCAGUGAAAUGCGUAGAGAUGUGGAGGAACACCGAUGGCGAAGGCAGCCUCCUGGGCCAGCACUGACGCUCAUGCACGAAAGCGUGGGGAGCAAACAGG